rnacentral:rRNA from 1 species
AUGCGUCAGCUAAGGCUCGUCACCAACAUGAGGGCUCAUAAUGACACCUGGUUUGCGGAUUACUUGCUAAGGGUAGGCAAUGGCACCGAGGAAGUUGACGAUCAAGGAAACAUACAACUCCCUGAAGAUAUUUGUGUGCCGUCUACAGGCGAGGGUGACGACCUGGAGAAGCUGAUUGACCAUGUGUUUCCGAGACUAGAUGACAACAUGUCCGAUCCAAAUUACAUGACUUCACGCGCAAUCCUCUCCACCACGAAUGACAACAUCGACAAGAUAAACAUACGCAUGGUAGAGUGUUUUCAGGGAGAAGAAGUAAUCUACCAUAGCUUUGACAGUGCAGAAGACGACCCGUAUGGCUACUACGCUCCCGAGUUCCUAAAUGGAUUGACUCCCAACGGUCUGCCUCCGCAUGCACUCAAACUGAAGCUCAACUGCCCCGUCAUACUUCUGAGGAACAUUGAUCCGGCUAAUGGUCUAUGUAACGGGACGAGGCUUGUGGUGCGAGGUUAA